rnacentral:rRNA from 1 species
UUGAAGAGUUUGAUCAUGGCUCAGAUUGAACGCUGGCGGCAGGCCUAACACAUGCAAGUCGAGCGGUAGCACAGAGAGCUUGCUCUCGGGUGACGAGCGGCGGACGGGUGAGUAAUGUCUGGGAAACUGCCUGAUGGAGGGGGAUAACUACUGGAAACGGUAGCUAAUACCGCAUAACGUCGCAAGACCAAAGUGGGGGACCUUCGGGCCUCAUGCCAUCAGAUGUGCCCAGAUGGGAUUAGCUAGUAGGUGGGGUAACGGCUCACCUAGGCGACGAUCCCUAGCUGGUCUGAGAGGAUGACCAGCCACACUGGAACUGAGACACGGUCCAGACUCCUACGGGAGGCAGCAGUGGGGAAUAUUGCACAAUGGGCGCAAGCCUGAUGCAGCCAUGCCGCGUGUAUGAAGAAGGCCUUCGGGUUGUAAAGUACUUUCAGCGGGGAGGAAGGCGAUAAGGUUAAUAACCUUGUCGAUUGACGUUACCCGCAGAAGAAGCACCGGCUAACUCCGUGCCAGCAGCCGCGGUAAUACGGAGGGUGCAAGCGUUAAUCGGAAUUACUGGGCGUAAAGCGCACGCAGGCGGUCUGUCAAGUCGGAUGUGAAAUCCCCGGGCUCAACCUGGGAACUGCAUUCGAAACUGGCAGGCUAGAGUCUUGUAGAGGGGGGUAGAAUUCCAGGUGUAGCGGUGAAAUGCGUAGAGAUCUGGAGGAAUACCGGUGGCGAAGGCGGCCCCCUGGACAAAGACUGACGCUCAGGUGCGAAAGCGUGGGGAGCAAACAGGAUUAGAUACCCUGGUAGUCCACGCCGUAAACGAUGUCGAUUUGGAGGUUGUGCCCUUGAGGCGUGGCUUCCGGAGCUAACGCGUUAAAUCGACCGCCUGGGGAGUACGGCCGCAAGGUUAAAACUCAAAUGAAUUGACGGGGGCCCGCACAAGCGGUGGAGCAUGUGGUUUAAUUCGAUGCAACGCGAAGAACCUUACCUGGUCUUGACAUCCACAGAACUUAGCAGAGAUGCUUUGGUGCCUUCGGGAACUGUGAGACAGGUGCUGCAUGGCUGUCGUCAGCUCGUGUUGUGAAAUGUUGGGUUAAGUCCCGCAACGAGCGCAACCCUUAUCCUUUGUUGCCAGCGGUUCGGCCGGGAACUCAAAGGAGACUGCCAGUGAUAAACUGGAGGAAGGUGGGGAUGACGUCAAGUCAUCAUGGCCCUUACGACCAGGGCUACACACGUGCUACAAUGGCAUAUACAAAGAGAAGCGACCUCGCGAGAGCAAGCGGACCUCAUAAAGUAUGUCGUAGUCCGGAUUGGAGUCUGCAACUCGACUCCAUGAAGUCGGAAUCGCUAGUAAUCGUAGAUCAGAAUGCUACGGUGAAUACGUUCCCGGGCCUUGUACACACCGCCCGUCACACCAUGGGAGUGGGUUGCAAAAGAAGUAGGUAGCUUAACCUUCGGGAGGGCGCUUACCACUUUGUGAUUCAUGACUGGGGUGAAGUCGUAACAAGGUAACCGUAGGGGAACCUGCGGUUGGAUCACCUCCUU